rnacentral:rRNA from 1 species
CAAUAGCGUAUAUUAAAGUUGUUGCAGUUAAAAAGCUCGUAGUCGGACCUCUGGCAGCGCGUGGACGGUCCGCCGCAAGGUGUGCACUGUGCGGCGCUGCCAUCCUCUCGAGGACCCUUGGUGCUCUUCACUGAGUGCUCUGGGGACUCGGGACCUUUACUUUGAAAAAAUUAGAGUGUUCAAAGCAGGCCUUUUCGCUUGAAUACAUUAGCAUGGAAUAAUAGAAUAGGACUUUGGUUCUAUUUGUUGGUUUCUAGGACCGAAGUAAUGAUUAAUAGGGAUAGUUGGGGGCAUUAGUAUUUAAUUGUCAGAGGUGAAAUUCUUGGAUUUAUGAAAGACUAACAUCUGCGAAAGCAUUUGCCAAGGAUGUUUUCAUUGA